GGGAGGCAGGAAGCCAGGAAGGAGGCUGGCAGUGUUCCCUGCAGCAGACCCUCUGCCCAGACCAUCCAGUACAGCCUUUGCCAGGGUGAACAGGGAUGUUUCUGGGGCAGCCUCAUGCCUAAAUGCUGUGAUUGCCGCCAGAUGGACCCGAAUAGAGGCCUGCGAAAGCCCCGAUCGCUUCAGGUUGAUAAGCAGAGUAUGACUUCAUGGUGGAGGGUCUUCGAGAAGCAUAUAAGACCUCCUUCAAUUCCUGGGACCAGAGGGUUGAAUCCUCCAAGCUGUCAGGCGCAGGGUGCAUAUGUCAGAAUGCAGUAUCCGACCAUCCUACAUGGAGAGCAGCAACGGUGAUGGAGGGAGACGUACAAAGCAACCCCCGGAGAGGUUCAAGAGGCGUGGGAACCAGGGCCUCUGUGGCCACCAGGGCGCUAUCACGAUGCAGUUCCCGGAGUCCACCUCUAGCUUUUGGAGUACUAUCGGAAGUAGCAGUACUGGAGGGAAGAUGUAAGAGAACUCCUCUGUCCAGAGAAUUGCGAAGGUGUCUCCCAGUGAUCCCUUUCCCACUGCCAUCCUGGAGCAAUACCGAGGGCAUCGACGGUUGGUCUCACUCACAAAAAGGUCUAUGGUUGGAGAUUCCCCCAGAGACGGAACAGGCGGCAGAGGACGUGGGUGUCCAGUUGCCAUCCAUGGGGGGCAUGAGGCGUGCGGCUGAGAGUGUUGGCCAAUGAGUUGGUCAGGCCCUGGAUGUAGACUGCCGAUAGGUACAGUAUAUGCUGUGGGAAAGGGCCCAGCCCUCUGUCUAGGGCUAGAGAGAGAAGGGCUUGAGAGCCGGUCUCCCCCGGCCUGUUGGUAUAAGCCUUGGACAUAUUGUUGGUCAUAAUUUGGAUGUGUUUCCCGCCCACCAUUGGGAGGAAGGCUUGCAGCGCUUUGAAAACAGCCAGGAGCUCUGGGUAGUUUGUGUGGCGGGACAAUUGCUUCCUGAACCAGUGACCGUUCACCUGGAGGUUGUGGAGGUGAGCUCCCCAAACUUCCUCUGAAGCAUCCGUGGUAACUUGAAGGUGGGGAAGGGGCUAUCAAAAUGGGCAUGGAUGCUGCAGAUUCUGUAGCAACAUCCACCAUUGGAGAGAAUAGCGAAUGCUCGCUGGGAUGCAGAAGCAUUUUGAAUUGUCCCAAUGUGGGCGGAAUACAUCCAGAAACCAGCAUUGCAAGGGACGCAUGUGGAGUCUUGUGGUUGGCAGGACAGAGGGCGUAGCGGCCAUGUGUCCCAGCAUGCGCUGGACCUGCCUUGCAGGGCGAGUAGGAGACCCUUAAAUGGUCAUGGCAAGGCGGUGUAUUGUGGUGACUCGCGGGGAGUGUCACGACUGCUGACACGGAGUCGAACAUGACACCCAAGAACUUUAUGUACUGGGUGGUUGUCAAUGUGACUUCUUGUAGUUGAUUUUUAGCCCCAGAUCGCCCAGCAACAGGAUGGUGAGCUGAAGAUGUGAACGGAGUGUUCUUGGAGACUCGGCUGCCAAGAGCCAAUCGUCGAGGUACGGAAAGAGUUGGACCCCUCUUUCCUGUAAAUGGCCCACGAUGAUGACCAAACAUUUUGUAAAUACCCUUGUGGCAGAUGACAGUCCGAAGGGCAUUGCACGAAACUGGAACGUGUCGACUCCCAGUUGAAAAUGCAGGUCCAGCCGCAGGAGGGAGGGGCAUGGAAGAAGCGGCCUGAUGCAAGGGAACCGGAGCUUUGGAGGCUGGGGCUUCCUGAUUCUGUGAGGUAAGCCGGGGCACCAUAGGGGUGGAAGGGAGAGAGGAGGCAGAGGGAGUCCCUGUGGGCAUCCCAGGCCCUCCAGGAGGCUGUGCCAAGGCUGGCAAUGAUCUGCUCAUUUCAUUGGAAGGUGGUGUAGGUUCGGUGUUCAUACACUCCAUUGCCUUACACGAUAAGGUGCUCUCCCAUAAAAACGAGCGUAGACGGGAUUCUCUAUCCAGGCUUGGCCCUCUGUGAAAGCUUUUGACAGUGAUUACAGGAAUCAGGGCGAUGUGCUUUGCCUAGACAAAAAAGGCAUUUACUGUGACCGUCAGCUGAGGGAAAUUGUGAGCAGCAGUCAGGGCAGCGCUUAAAGGUAAAUUUACCGGCCAUAAACCAUAUGUGGAGAGCACCGCAUCAGGCGAGGGUGGUGGCUGUCUAAGUCCCCCUCUUAUCUGCCUUGCUCUUCUCCCUCUCCCUCUCCCUCUUCUUCUUGUAAAGUAUACACAAAUAUGAAAUUAUAACGCAAAAUGAGAAAGAGGUGAAAACCAGAGGGGAGAUGUAGAAGAAUAAAAUGAAAAGAAACAAAUAAUAAGCCUGAAGAACAACUAGACAGGUGACCAGAGAUGUAGCUUCUCCAGUGGAUGAAAAAGAACUACAAGAAGGGAGCAGGCUCAUGUGACCAAGGUGUGUGGGGAGGUGCCCAGCUGCCUAGCUGAGGCUAUUUAAAAAAAAAGAUCAACUUGAUCGGUGUUCCAGAUUGUUCUUCCCGCAGGCAUGAAGCCCCAUUUGUGUGAUGGACAGAGACCACUUAGAAGAACUGAGGAUAGUGAUGCUCCAACUGCCUCUACACAUGGUGGGUGGAGUCAGGAGUGUCAUGCAGAGCUUUAGAAUCUUCCUGAUUUGUCUUCUGCGUAGGCACAGAUCCCCAGUUGUGUGGAUUCAAUGGGAUCACGUCAAGGAUCUGUGGUUAUAGCAGCAUCCAUGUUUGGAUGUAACACUCCCGCCGAAAAACCUCAGGAUGAGACAGCAAAACUCACUACAAACCAAAGGUUCAAACUGGAGUUUGGCGAGGGAAACAGCGGUUUCACAUAUUCGGGCAUACGCAAAUUUCAUCUGUCCCAUUUAACUGCAGUUGUGUGUUACAUGCAAAUGUGGCCAUAUUGUGCUAAACAGAACUAUGAUAGUUCUGGAUUUCAGAAAUGCUUUCAGAGCUGGGCAAGUCUCCAUCUGGAAUUUGGCCAGCAGAUUGCAUAGAGAAACUCAAAGCUCAGAGAGUUAGGGAAUCCAUGCAUGAAAUCUGCAAAGAUCUUUUCCACAGCCCCUCUACUCACAUUGUUGCUGUUCCUGAGGGAGGAAAGAAGUUGUGGACUUAUUGGUGCUACUUAUUGGUUCUGGCAGGGUCAAAAGGACAAAAUGAAAACUACACUCUGCUCCCUCGAGGUAUUCAUCCUAUUGGCACAGAAACUGAAAGGGCAGCUGGUGACGGCAAGAAAGAGCUGUCUUGUGGUCUGUUAGUUUUGCUAUCAUUUGGCAUAAUCUCUGAUUAGGAAAUGAAAGAAUGCCAUUUCAGGUGCCUCUAGAAGGAUCUCCUUUUUAUCAGUGGGAGGGGGCCCCCAGUUUUCUAUAGCACAGCGAUUCAGUACUGGGCCCUAGGCCAAUCCUUAGAGCUCAGUAGAUGUCUGACUAGGCUGACAACUGAUGCUGGUCUUGAAAAAACCUAAGUCACUAGUUGCUCACUCAGAAGUAAUUACUAUUCAAACCUAUUCUGUGCAAUAUGGUUCAAAUAUAUAUGAAGAAUGGUGCUGGUCUUUGCUUGUAAGAAGAGUGAGAAAACAUUAUUAAACUUAAGCUGUAUUAAUGAAUCUAAAGAUAUACUAAGCUUAUUUAAAAUAUCAAUUGUAUACAUUAUCAGAAUGUGAAUGUAUUUGGUAUUAUUCAUAUCAUUGCGAAGAUAAAAAAUGUAAUACAAAGUAUUAUGGCAACGAAACAUUUUUACCCUAACACAGAUUUUAAAAAUAUGGUAUUUAUGGGCAACAGGCUCUUGCAAUAAAAAUCAAUCAAUCAAUCAAGUUUUACCUUCCGAUAGAGAAGUUCCCAGCUAUCCUGUGUCAUCAGCCGGAACAUUGAUAGAAAAGCCCAUCCAAAAUGAUCAAAACUUCUGUCCUCAUAGUCAACAUCAUCUCCACAUUUCAGACAUUUAUAGCCGUUUAGACAUUCAGUUUUACUAAUAACAAAUCAAACAUGUUACUGAUAGCUUUUAGGUAAAAGGUUUCUGUCAGAUUGUUUACCUCACAACCAAAAGCUUUACUGAAGCUGGACAUUUAUAUCCUCCUCAUUUUGUAUUUCUUCAACUUCUGUGCCACCCUUUAAUAUAAAUAGGGCAGCUUACAAUAAGUACAACAUGAGCUGCUAGGUUUUAUUUCAGUUUUAAUAUAAAAAUGGUUUUAUUUGGAUGAGAGAGCACUGGUUGUUUUCAGCAUUUUUGUAACAUUUGCUGUAUUGUAUAUAAAUACAAUCUGAGCAAAAGUUGAACAUGCAUACCAAAAUAUUCUAUAUCUAUGUCUAUAUCUAUAUCCAUAUCUAUAUAAAAUACAAAGUGCUAGUUAUAAUUUACAAAACCCUAAACGGCUUAAGCCCUGGGUAUUUAAGAGAGCGUCUUCUUCAUUACAACCCCACCGCCCAUUGAGGUCAUCUGAGGAGGUCUGUCUCCAAUUACCACCAACUCAUUUGGUGGCUACACAGAGACGGGCCUUCUCGGUUGCUGCCCUGGGAUUGUGGAAUGCACUCCCUACUGAGAUACGAUUCUCCCCAUCUCUGACAAUUUUCAAAAAACACCUGAAAACCCAUCUUUUCGCCCAAGCUUUCUCAGCUUCCUAAUAUUUUUGGGUUUUAAUUUCUGGUUAUUUUUAAAUUUUUAUUUUUAAAUUGUUAAAGUGUUUUUAAGUUUUUGUAUAUGUUUUUAACUGGUUUUAUGUUAUUGUAAACUGCCCAGAGAUGAACGUUUGGGGCAGUAUACAAAUUUGAUAAAUAAAAUAAAUAAAAUAUUUCUAUAUCUAUCUA